AUUCCUGCCCUUGGCAGUGUGAGAUGGAAGAUGAUGUCGCAAGGGUGGCCGAGAAGCAGCUGGGCUGAGCUGCUAAAAGCACAGAGACCGGGGCCAGACUCCUCAGCCUGAAAUCCUGCUUCCACUAAGUACCAGCUGGGUAACUUCAGGCCCUGGAGGUCCAUGCUUCUGCCCAAGCUGUGUCUCAUCUCUGCAGGUGGAGCCCAGUUGACAGGAAAUGUUUCUCCAGAAGCUGAAAAGCUGCCUGGUAAAGGCCUUUCAUAAAAUGGUCUGCGUUUGGGACCAGGAAGACAGAAGACUCCUCAAGAAGAGAACUGGAACCUUAACCCACUUCAGACUUCUUCAUGUCUGAAGCUUAUUUCCACCAUCCCAUUGAG
rnacentral:lncRNA from 1 species